rnacentral:misc_RNA from 1 species
AAAAAAGCAUAUAAUAUUUUUUAUAAUAUUAAAAAAAUAUUAAUUACGGAUAAUACCAAAUAAGUUAUAAGUUAUAGUUAUUUAGCAUUUCACAUUUAAAAUAUAUGAUUUUAAUUAAAAUUUAAGAUGUUACGGAAAAUAUGAUAAUUUGUAUGUGUUUUUGCAUGUGAAAAAACUUUACUUUUUUUGUUAAGUUAAUAAAUUU